UACGGAGGGGGCGAGCGUUAUUCGGAAUUAUUGGGCGUAAAGGGCGCGUAGGCGGCCUUGCAAGUCAAAGGUGAAAUCCCUCGGCUCAACUGAGGAACUGCCUUUGAAACUGCACGGCUUGAGGCCGGGAGGGGGUAGCGGAAUUCCCAGUGUAGCGGUGAAAUGCGUAGAUAUCGAGAGGAACACCUGCGGCGAAGGCGGGUUGCUGGGCUGACACUGACGCUGAUGCGCGAAAGCCAGGGGAGCGAACGGG
rnacentral:rRNA from 1 species